rnacentral:rRNA from 1 species
GAUGAACGCUGGCGGUAUGCUUAACACAUGCAAGUCGAACGGACUCUUCGGAGUUAGUGGCGGACGGGUGAGUAACGCGUGAGAAUCUGGCUUUGGGUUCGGGACAACCACUGGAAACGGUGGCUAAUACCGGAUGUGCCGAGAGGUAAAAGAGAAAUUGCCUGAAGAUGAGCUCGCGUCUGAUUAGCGAGUUGGUGAGGUAAAGGCUCACUAAGGCAGCGAUCAGUAGCUGGUCUGAGGGGAUGACCAGCCACACUGGGACUGAGACACGGCCCAGACUCCUACGGGAGGCAGGAGUGGGGAAUUGUCCGCAAUGGGCGAAAGCCUGACGGAGCAAUACCGCGUGAGGGAAGAAGGCUCUUGGGUUGUAAACCUCUUUUCUUAGGGAAGAACAAAAUGACGGUACCUAAGGAAUCAGCAUCGGCUAACUCCGUG